UCUCCGUAGGUGAACCUGCGGAGGGAUCAUUACAGAGUUCGUGCCCUCACGGGUAGAUCUCCCACCCUGUGUUAUUAUACCUUUGUUGCUUUGGCGGGCCGCCCUCGGCUACCGGCCCCGGCCGGUACGCGCCCGCCAGAGGACCCCAAACUCUGAAUGUUAGUGUCGUCUGAGUACUAUACAAUAGUUAAAACUUUCAACAACGGAUCUCUUGGUUCUG
rnacentral:misc_RNA from 1 species